AUUUUAAAACAAGAGAAACAAUAGUUUGAAAAUAUAGAAAAUUGCGUGUGAGUGUGUCAUAAUUCAUAAAUGCAAAGACAAAUGUUUGAUCUUUGAUUGUAAUUUCUGAAACUCACGGACUUUCCUACCUCUUUCUGAUCUUCCCGACCCCAUCAACACUUUUUUGUAUCUCUAUCACACAUAUAAAAUCGUAUUUUGAUUAAUACCAUUUUCCAGCCAUUUUGCCUCUGUCCUCUCCUACUUACUCUUCUCUCUUAUGUUUCCAGCCAUCACUCACGAGCCCAUUUAUGAACUUUAACCCUAAACCAGUGUAUAUCUCCUCCCACUUAUAUAUCCCUCACAUUAUCAUUCCAAACUCUCUCAAAAAAACAAAAAUAAUUACUUCAAACUAAAACCCAAUGUUCAACACAAGAGUUCAUAUUGUCAUUAUCACUCUAAACCUUUUAUUCUUGUACGCUGGAGGGAGACUAAUACCACUGGAGAGUGUUCCAAGCUCGUCGAUGAUGCCUUUAUCAGUCGAAGACACGGUCAAAUUGAAUCCGAGGAAUCAGAUUUUUCAUGGGACACAAGUAAAGAGUUGUAUGCCUAAAGGGUUCCGACCAAGAUCCGCUCCGAGCCGGGGCAAUGGAGGAGGAGUAUCAUGGAUCACGUGAACGAUUUCAAGGAAAAUGAUCGGAAAGAGGGAAAUAAUUGCAAAUUUGUGUAUGGGCCGUUUUACUUCUUCAAGCCCACUUAAAACUUGCCACCAAUUUCAACAAAACCAAAUAGUGUUUCCCAUUCAGAUAGUAAAUAGUUACUCAAAUAACGUUAACAUCGAGAAAAAAUGAAAAAAAAUCUGUAAGCCAUUUAUCAUACAAAC